CGAUCCCAGGUCAGGCGGGGCUACCCG
rnacentral:rRNA from 1 species